rnacentral:rRNA from 1 species
ACAGCAGUCGCCGCGGUAAUACAGAGGGUGCGAGCGUUAAUCGGAUUUACUGGGUGUAAAGCGUGCGUAGGCGGCUUCUUAAGUCGGAUGUGAAAUCCCUGAGCUUAACUUAGGAAUUGCAUUCGAUACUGGGAAGCUAGAGUAUGGGAGAGGAUGGUAGAAUUCCAGGUGUAGCGGUGAAAUGCGUAGAGAUCUGGAGGAAUACCGAUGGCGAAGGCAGCCAUCUGGCCUAAUACUGACGCUGAGGUACGAAAGCAUGGGGAGCAAACAGGAUUAGAUACCCCUGUAGUCCCUGUCUCUUAUAC